UCCGAACUUAGAGUUCUUCCCUUUCCCUUUGCAUGAAACUUCAUUCCGGGAAAGCAACAGAGACAAAGGAGACCAAGACCAGCUCGCCCUUUAGCACCGGCUCUGCUGCUACCCCAGGACCUGCAGCAGUGGCGAGGCCGUGCUGGCGCCAUGACCCGACGCUGCCCGAACAUGCACGCGGCUGGGAGAGGGGCGAACGCCAGCAGGCAGCCGGGAGCCGAAAAGUCUGCUUGGAAAGGGAGAGAACCAGCCCAAGGGCAGGGAAAAAUGAAGCUUGCAGCGAGCCUGAGCGGGAACACGGGGCAGGAGCCGCUGUGUGCCUCUCUGGGGUGGCUGUGCCCAUCGGGAUGGUGCAGGAAAGCCCAGCUCCGGCACAUGGUUGGUGCCAGGGGCUCCUCCUGCACCCCCAGCACUGCCUUGGGUUCCCAGCGAGGUUCCCUGCUCCCCCCCCCCCCCAGCCCCAGCACUGCUCGCCUGGCUGAAUAAUAUUUUCAUGCCUGUUUCAGACCCGCGCUCUGGGCGUCCCGGGGGACGUUUGUGCAUGACAUCACCCUCCCCCUCCCGUAAAUCAGGCACGGGGCCGUGCACAGCCAUGACCCAUUCAUGACAGGGAUAAAAUCCAGAUGUUCCAGCGCUACGUGCAGCUGGGUCAUUUCCUUUUUUGGCUAAAAACGUGAGGCUCUUGAGGCUGACUGAAAGAGGAGCCCGGGGGCCCUUUGUACAGAAACCUUUUGUGGUUAAUCCCUGGAAACAGCGCUGCAGAAACAAGGAGUUGCGGUGCUGCUGCUGCAGGACGGGCUCAGCUGGAAACCUUCAGGGCCUGAGCUGCUCGCUCCUUGUUUGAGGCCGAGCGGCAGCAAAACCAGAGCCCGGCGCAGGUCGCAGGGCAGCAACAGCUACAAAAAUCUUACAUGAAAAAAAAAAAAUAAAAAAAAACAACACGAGCUGCCAGAGGUGAUGUUUGCAGGAGCUGGGAGAGUGCACACACAGAGCCAGAGCUGUGGUCCCGUUGCAGCACCCAUGGGAGUUGCUGGCGCUGUGCUGGGGGAUGGAGAGGGGUGCAGGGGGCCAUUGAGUGUGGAGGAAGCUGUGGCAGCUGUUAGUAAAUGAAAAGGAAUCUGCGGAAAAUAGUUUCAGAUGUUCGGGGAAUAACUGGCUCCCCAGCUGAUAAAAGUGAGUAAUGAGCACACAGCGCUGCGGGGCAGGCUGCCAGGAGGAGACCGCUCACCCCAGCUGGAGACCGCAGCCACAUCCCCAGCAAAGCCCCCCCCGAACCGGGAGCGUGGGGCACGGGAUGGGGAAGCUGCUCGGUGUAGUGGGGUACGAGCCCGUGUCCUGGCUGCUGCUGAACCCCAAAGCCAGCCCCAAAACAGGACAGCCUGCCUGGACAGACAGACAGGCACCCCAGCGGGGUGAGGGAGCUGCCAUUCCUCUGUCCUGGCCCCAAAGGACCCGUAUAGCCGAUGUGGUUUGGGGAAGGGGAAGCAAGAGGAUAGGGAGAGUGCAGCCCCAUCCCUCUGUGGGGUUUGGGGUAAGGACAAGGCCGUCAGGCGGCCCUGCCCCUCGAGAAACACACGGGAGCGAGUGUCACUAAAACAGUUUAUUAUAGAAAGCCGUAGGAAACGUACAGGAGGCUGAGGUUGAGGACACUUCCUUCUAGAGACUGCUCCAAGCACCUCAAAGUAGCAAACACACAAACUCUGAUUUGCCUGCAUCAAAGCUUUCAAACGAGGGUUCAACGGGGAUCAGAAUGCAGAGUUAAUAACACUUCAACAUGCAUAACUUCUUUUUUUUUUACUCCUACGUGAAUCCUGGGCAGGGGGGCUAGCCCCUUCAUCCCGCAGCUGGUUACAAAAUGACAGAUAUUCAUGACAAAAGAGUACAAAAGGAGAAAAAAAAAAAAAA